UCACCUGCUCGUCUAAUCUGGCGUCUUUCUCGCUGUUUCUUUCGGGUUUGCGCCCUGUUGGGUUUGGUGCGCGGUUGUUGGAAGAGUACUAGUCUUGGUGGAUGGAAUGAAGGACAGCCUAAUGGCUUGUCCAUUUUUGUACAGUACAGAUCAUCGAUCUCCAAUGAAAGAGCUUGCGCUCGACUCGAUCGCGUUGUUUGUUUGUUCGUUUCCCCGUCACGAUCAAACCGGUGGAUGUUUCUUGUCGUGCUGGCGAGGUUCAGUAGCUCCGUAGGUUGCAGAUGACACUGACAGCUGAGUCUGCCAAUAUUGUACAGUGUACUAGUUUUGUUGGAAUAAGCGUGUUAGUUUUGCUUCAGAAGCAGGCAAAAUGGGAAGCAAAAAAAAACAGGCACGAACACACCUAGAGCUCCGAAACAUAAAAACUGCUUGCAACUGUCCUGUUUUCAUCAGCAGGGACGAUCUUUCGCCAUUUUCGAGACCAUCACAUAACUGCCUUAAGUUCGAUGUUUACAUCCUUCGCCAUUUGAGGUGAAUUUGUGACCUAUAUACAUUCUGCCCCUUCGUUUCUCUUCGGGGAUCCUGUACUGUACUGUACCUAAAUUUCUCUAUACCUCCUGUAGCAACAUGUCCGAGGGACUAUACAUUCUGUACCUCCCUUUCUGCAUCUACAGCCGGAACUUUCAUCAUACUCUAACUUUGGACAUGUCACAGUUCCAAAAAAGAAAAACUUUGGACAUGUCAAACCACCUCGACACCUCGUCGAUCAUCGAAUUGCUCGAUCCGUUUCGAGGGCGCUGUCAUCCUCGUCAAGGUACUCCACAUCAACCCGUGGGUUGCUCGAGUGCCGUUUCAGUCCCCGGAAGAUCUCGUCCAGCGAGUCCGAAGUCGACGAGCUCGUGCGCGACAGGCUCGAAGGAAGCAGCCUCUUGGAGCUCAUGCUCGAUCUGAAGCUCCGAAACCCCGCCUUCAUCGAGGCCCAUCUCGACGCGGUUCCGGCGGAUGGAUCCGGUGCCACGCUAGCAGGAGAUGGGUUUUCAGAGUCCCCUGCUUCGAGCAAAACAGAGGUGGAAUGGGUCACCUCUUUCACUUGUUUAACUGACUGUUGACUGCUGGGCUGCUCUGUAAUGGAGGAGUACUUGUGCUGGGCUCCUCCUUCCCUUUUGGGGGAAUGUGGAGCUGCUUUCAUCACCACCACCUUUUGUACACCCUGUGGAUAACAGAUGGAAGAAUGAAACAAGAGUGAGGUCUCCAGGCACCCCAAAGAUUUACUAACAAUCAUGGUGGACAAGCAAACACCUAGAGAAAAAAAUUCGCACCUGUAGCACGGUUCCAGACUCAACGUCUUCGCUUACGGAACUGAAGUUUCUUGCCAAUGGAGUGACCUGCUCGCCGAGUUUGCGCGCUUGUUCGAUCCAAGAUCUUUCUGCAGAUGAAACACAGCAUAUUCAGGGAAUACCAUCAGAUAGGAAAAAAAAAGCUAAGCUAGUGACUGAGCAGCAACAGGCUUGACUGAGGAAAAUGAUUGAUUAAAGAUUCGAUUUAGUCAAACGGGAAACACCAGAUUAUGUAUGUUGCUCCCCUUCUCGAAAGAAAGUAAAAAUAUGUGUUGCUACCAGUUCAGUUCAAAAAAUCCAUUUGCAGAAGGAAUACUGUACUGAAAUCGCGUAAGAUCAAGCGGCAUGAAAAAGAAAAGCACAUGUGGACUGUGGAGUGAAAGAAAAGGUACCCGUCAAGAUAAAUGAGCAACUUACCUUUCUGCAGAAUCAUCACCCCAGAUGGAUCAAAUCCGUUUGUAUCCUCUUCUUCCUCAGUCCAGAAUUUGAACCUUUUCCAGCUUCCAAAUAUUUCAAACAGAUACCCGAAGAAAUUGCCCGCGACCAGUAUAGUAUAAACAACCAUAAUGAGUGGAUAUAUUCUGUUGAAGUUUCUCCCAAAGAAAGGAACUGCAUCAUCAAUGCUCCCCAUCCUCUGCAUAGUAGCACAAGAGAUUAUUUAUCCAGCAGUUAACUAGGGCUUAUGUAGCAGGUAAACAGUAAGCUUGUAGAAUAGGAAGCAGCUGAACUUUUGCAUCAAAUAUGAACCAAUACUGUGUUAUCACCUAGACACAAGAAUAUCAGAACUACUCGCUGCAUAUUAUGAAAGUAAACAGUAGCCAAUCCUCUUUUUUCUUUCCAUGAGCAAAUUUUGUAGUAGAAUGAAAGCUAAUGGAACUAUGGGAGUACUGUUGAAUGGAAUGUCUGGGUACGAUUUACACUAUAGCAGGUGAGUUUUUCUGUGCUACUCAUUUGUACUGAGAUCAGAUUUGUGCCAUAGGUAGAAUUUACUAGAAACAGCUGCAUGUCCCUGUAACUUUCUUGGUUAGAAUUUCCUUUUUCUCCAACAAAAUGGAAAACAAUAGAAGACUAUCGCUGCUUUUGUAUUCCCUACAUAUCGACAUAACCUAUUCAUGACGAGGAUUGCUUAAAAUCUACAAAUUCGAAUUAUAGCUAUUACAAAAGAGUGGUAACAAGCAAUGCAGCAAAGGAACAUAUCCAAAACUAUUACCUUCUCAAAAGUAGUUCUAACAUCACCACCAAGGUGGACGAGAUUCAGAAAGUUGUAAGAAAUAGCAGGUGCGUAUCUUGCAACCAUUCUGAAAAAACACAUUUGAUGCAAAACUUAGGACAGCGUGCAAAAAAGGUUGGAUUGAUGCCCUUGAAACAUCAAAUGGUAGGAAAAUGGAAGACCUACGAGCAGAUCAUAAGCAGGCUGACAGAGCUAGUUUGUCCUGGAGUCAGUGAAUAGACCAACAUCAUCCCUAUCCUAAAGAGCGGAUAAUAUGUGCAAAUGCACAUGUACAUCAAUGGAGCAAAUGCAACAACCUGUUAAGUGGUAUUAGCAGGCAAAGCGUUAAAAUUAGUAUUUCAAAGGUCAUUUCUUUCAUGAUGAAUGUACAAGCAAGUAAAGGUAUAUGCAUGUGACUAAACAGUCUUGCAAAAGAAGUAUGUUUACACCACAGACUUUUUAAAUGUGGUCAUUGCGUGUUUUUUCUUCAAAAUUAAUGGCAAGUGCAUCUUCUACAGAAUUGAUUUUUUUAUGUAUAUGUACAGCUAUAAGAAUAGAAAUAAAGUGGUGGGUGAUCAUAGAUAACAAACUUCCCAUAAGUUGGCUGCAAGCUGAAGGAAAUAUUUCAGAUUCUACUUCAAACACAACAAGGCAAUGCUACACACUUAAAUCAAUUAAUUUCUUACCUGGACUAAAAUUUCUUGCUUUCCUACAGCAUUUAUAAGAACAGAAAAAAGUGAUAAAUGGACACCAGUUGGCAGCAAAGUGGCCUCAGCCAACAAUAUGGCAGCUGAGAUGCAACCAAGGAGAACAGAAAGAACUUUCAGGAGUCGGUUUAACAGUAUACAGCGCCAAAUGAACUCUGAAAAUGUGAAGGUGUUCGCAAGUCAGUUCCAUGAAUUUAGGACAGGCCAGGGAGAUUAACAUAAAAGUGUUGGUGUGUAGCAAAGCGCUGUAAAAGAUCCAUUGGUAUUGGGCCUAUGAUAACUUGCGUCAGCGGUUCAAGCUUUAUUAUGCGGAAUCUACAUGCUAGGGGGAUUUUCUCGGUGCAAUCUGUGUAUGCGGCUCUAGUCAAUUCCCACUUUCACUUCCAUCGCAAACAAAUUUGAAAAUUUGAACUCCCUCUGAAAAUUUAAAUAUUCUUGUGGUACUUGAGUAGGGUAGUCAUAAUAAUAAACCGUAACGUGGCUAAAACAAUUGGAUUGGUAGUAAUUUAUUUUACCAGGUGGAAGAUUAUAUUCAACACCUCUUCUUUGAUUGCCCUUCAGCUUGUUGCAUGGCUUUUAACAUUGCUCCAACUUGUACUGUAGUUCAUAUUUUUGAGGAUUGGCUAAGAGGACAAAGUGGGGUCUAGUCUCCUAUUUUGCUCAACAUUUGACUAUAGAAGUUGAUGAUUUUCUAGCACAUGUACUAUUCACUAUAGAAGUUGAUGAUUUUUUUUGUAGAUCACAUCAAGACGUAUUUCAUCAUGAAAAUUUACAUACAUUAAUUAUACAUCCAUAUAUAUGUGUGUGUGUGUGUGUGUACGUAUGUGUCUGUUUAAAAAAAAUGAUUUUUGCAAAAUUUCGAACUCCGUGGGACUUGGGAGCCAAAGAUCCUCGUUCAUGUAAGGCAUUUUCAGUUGGCACACUGGUAAAGAGAUAUGACAAGAUAUUCCAAAUCUGGAUUGUAGGAAUAUACCUAUGUGGUCAAGGAAGGAUCCUAGUGUGCCUGAUCGACUUUCCCUUAAAUCUGAUACAUAUUUCCUGUAAGAACAAACAGAAAGUAAGUCAUCAGUGCUUCGAACUGAUGUCCCAAAGAUUUGGCAUGAAGAUAGCUGAUAACCAGCUUGCAAUGCAUGCUGAUUGUUGUGGUGAGGGUAAUGUUAACAAGCAUAGUUUACUAACAUUUUAAGAAUGUCUACAAAAUGACACACAAUUGGGUGCGUGUUCGAGAAAAAAAACUAUUUGUUUAUUAUGUUAUUUACUGCUUUCUCCUACAUGAUAACAAAGCCAACCAAACUUGAUUCAUAAAUAUGCAACAGUGCAAUACCCACUAUCAUCCUCGAUGGACCAAGUAAUCGCUUCAACUGACUAUUUAGCGGCGGAGUACAACAUAUCUCCCCAAUAUAGGUUACCACAGUAUAUGGUUGAACAGAGCAAAACAUACAUCAAAAUAUUACAAAGAUUUCUCGGAAGUUGUAUCAGGACAUUAACUAUCAAUUUUAUGCACAAACUGGCAGCCUGACACAACCAUUUAUCUGUAAAGUAAGAAGUUAAUACUCACCAUCCGUCUGCAUCAUGUUGCUCAUAAUUUGUCACUGUGUCUUCCAGUUCAAGGGCUUCCAUGACAGAAGUCGUAUAUUUGCUGCAAACAAUCAAGUAUGGUUAAAUAGUUACAAUUAAGAGCAGCAAAAUUAUGGUCUGGAAUUGUACAGAAAAUGAGCGCAACAAAAUUGUACAGAGGUGUGAAUUUUAUUUUCGAACUUUAGGAGUUGUUUGCAAGAUUUUAAUCAUAAAUGCACACUAAAAGAUACUAAGAUGUGCUAGUUUAGCACAAUGUACCUUUUACUCCUACAGUACUCCUCAUGAGCUAUCCUAAGUCGACGUCGAAGUGCAGCCAUCGUUUUCUCGUCAGUAUCAUAAUCCAUAUCAUUUUCUGCUAGUUUGUUUCCACCAGAAAGCUUGAACAGUGGGUCAUCUCUCAGCUGAGGAAAUAUAUUUGAGCCUAUGAGUUAUUAUGAAUAAUUAAAAUAUGUAAAUAUCAAUUUGUAGCGGUACCUGGCAUCCAUACCAUUUGAGCCAGCAUAUUAUCAAUAAUAUCCAUAAAAGGCCUUAGUGGGUCACGCUUGGACAUUUGUUUCGAUGUGGCUUGAACAACCUUAGACAAGGAAAGGAACAUGCCUUAAGAAGAAUGCAAUGAUCAUGAGAUGACAGUUUAAGAACCCAGAGAAGCACAUACAGUGAUUGUGUUGCAAUAUUCUUGGCGAGCAUUAUCAAGUUUUACAGUCAUCUUUGCAACCAUGUGAGAGAGAAUUUUUUGACGGCGAGUCCAAUCAGCAUUUCUCCAUAUAUCCUUUGGAAUUUCGCUCAACCCAAAACCAAGAAGAAAGGCACCUGUCACUAGUCCAAAGGUAUUUGAGCAUGCCAUCGCAAAGCCCAAGAUAGCACCACCCCUGCAAAAAAAACCAUUCUUUCAGCUUCACACAGUGAAGAAAAAGUUGAACCUAUUCUCCGAUGAUCACAAAUUGGACUGAAGACAUGAAAACCAUUGGUGAGAAGAAUUGAAAUAGUCCAAGCUGGAUAAAGUUCAGGCUGACAGAAGUUAUAAUACAGUGCCUAUUUGUUCCACUAGAGCACACCCAAACAGAUCAAAUAAAAAAUCACACAUAUGAAUGAACUACACACAGAUAUUAGAUGGGUCGUACAAUAUGUAAGCUCAGUUGAGACUCGAAAAAUGAGUACAUACCAAUCAUGAUGCAUGAUUAUAAUCAGAACUAUUCCAAAAAAGCCGAUAGAUCCCACAAUUUCAUAAUAGAGCAAGUUCGCUCGGAUACUGGUUUUCAGCCUCUCUUUAACUGUGAAAUCUCCAGCAUCCUCAUAGCCUUUAAUGGUAGGAAUGAUAGCCCUGUUUAGAUGAACAUAAUUUGACAUGAGAAUAGUGUUGUAUUAAGACAAACAACAUAGCUACCGCACAUAGAGUUCUGCAAGAAAAAGUGGUGUCACCCGAAAAAUCAUUGUGCGAUUAGGCAGAUGAGGUAAGUACCAUAAUAGGAUUCCCACAAAUUAAGACAAAAAAGCAACAUCAACAAAAAGGAUGACAGGAUUUUUUCAUGCUGACCACAUAUAUAUACUCCAACAAGACCAGCUCCAAAAGAAUUUAAGGGAUGUCCAAUAGUCAUUAAAUAUGCAGUCAUGUUCAGAUAAGGAUAUAAUAUAAUUAAGUUGACCGAAAUGUUUGGUCAAAUCAUUAAACUAUACGAAACUAAUGAAGCGGCAUGACCUCAAGAAGGCUAAGCACAAUGUCGCAAAAUAAAAUAAAAUAGAGAAGGCUAAGCAUAUGCACCAUUGACCAGUUGUGCAAUUGAAAACUAAGGCAGCAGUUUCAGACCUCACAUGUUGUGAAAAGGACAUUUCAAGUUUUCACCCCAUCAUUAGCGAGUUAGCACACAAAUCAACACACGUUAUUGUGAUCAGCAGCAUACCAUGCUAGGACAAACGUGCUCCAAUACGACCAGCUCCAAAAGAAUCCGACGUCGCCCUUUUGAUUGCCGGUAAUUGUCUGUAGUUCAGGUAAUGGAAGAAGAGGUCAGAGCUCAGAACAAUAUAAUAGAAGAGCCUACCUAGCCAUCCAUGAGUACAAUGUAACAUCAGCACAACACUUUGUCAGCCUUCACAUUACAAGAGUCUAUGAAGUAUAAAUAUCUAGACAUCUAAAAUAAUGUGUGUGUGUAUAUAUAAGUACCAACUGUAACAAGGAAUAUAUUUUUAGUAAAUUUCUGAAGUUGCGGGAACAGGCAAACUCCUUAAUCCACAAGCAAUAGGGAGACGUACACCAUCAAAUCCAUACAUUGCCGUUACUGCUGUGAAUGUGAUACCCCUUUUCACGCUUGCGAGUUUCAGCACGAACAUUGCAAACACACAGAUGAACUGCCACCCCCGCAUUCUCACAUAUAUCCUGCAGCAGUGCAGCCCACGCCCACGACCAAUGGAUUCACAAACGCGACUUAUCAAAUACCUACUGUACAGCGCAAUUUAGUUAUCAAUCCCAUGGCGCUUCCAGUCGACACCAAAUCCCUACACGCAUGGUUUCUGGAUUCGCCGAAAUGAUAGUUACCAACUAACCGCACGUACAGCAAAGCUAAGCAAAGGAGCAGCGAACCGAGAUAGUGGAAGAGGUGCCGGGCUCUGGGAGAAGGGGGCGCAGGGAUCGCACCGUGUAGAUGUCGGUGGGGACGAGGAUGACGAAGGAGAGGGAGCAGAGCCAGGCGUAGCCGACGGUGGCGAGGACGUGGAGCGGCACGGCGGGGCCGGCGAAGUAGCGCAGCGUGGCCGCCACCAUCCCCACCGUCAGAGGCAGCGCUAUCAGGUAGAAGACCCACAUCUCUCCGCCCCGCUCCUCUCGCCGGCCGCCGCCUCGUCUGCCGUGCGUCGUCGAUGGGCGGAGAGCGGAGAGGCCGAGCGGGAGGGACGAGCCGGUGGUGCGGCGUGGCGGGGAAUGAAAAGGAAGGAGGCCACCGGUUAAAAAGCGUGGGCGCGGAGGCAGCUCGGGAGGGAGGAGUUGGUGGGGCCGGACCGGUUCAGCGGCCUACGUGGCCCGGAGUGGGCCCGUUUCCCCGGCCCGCUGAGGUAAGCACGCUGCACACUCACGGACGCACGCAGCCCUUUCCUUUUGGACUUGGACCGCUUCCCGGUCUCCUCCUCCUCCCUCCACCCGGGCUGCGUCCAAAAGAAAGCUGACACAGUCAUCGUAAUAACAAAAGAAAGCUACUCUACGUACGGUCGUUUUCGGGUAAUUUGGCAGAGCAAUUAACAAGUGUUUUUGCUAACACAGACCGCGUCAAGAAGAGCAUGGUGGUUGUUGCUCGCUGCAGGAUGGAAGGUACGGUACUCGGUACAUCAUCAUUCAUCGCCCAGGCGUAAGUUGACAAUCCAAACGCAUGCUCGGCAAGUCGGCUGCAGACUGAAUCAACAUGUAUACACAGAUAUACUACUGUCUAUCUCAAAAGGAGAGAAAAAAAAGAGAGAGAGAAAAAAUAUAUACUACUGUCAAGUUGGUUGGUUUCACCUACCUGUUAUUACUUAUUAGCAAGAAAAAUUAAGAGAUGACUUUGGAUCGUCUGGUCUUGAGCCUUGAGCGCAAAACUGCAACCAUCAGCGCUUUCGGGUGAUUUGUGAACGCGGGUGCGGGAACUGGCAAGACACACUCGUUGGCGCUAUGGUCAGUUGUUGGUCAUUCAGAUUAGUAAAGGUGCGUCUUAGCUAAACAAGCUUGUCCAUAGUUUUUUAGGUGACUCUGGUCCAUGGUUUGUACUUUGUAGCAUGGUGACACUAAAUGAAACGGAUCUUUACGUAUAGAAUUUGGGCCUGCCCAAACUAGCUCCAUUUUGGUUUUGAGAAGGCUGAAGAACCUUCCCAGAUCGUUUAUUUUGUUUCUCCCUGCGGGUUUUCUUUUUCUUUUUUCUUUUUUCGUUUUUAUUUUCUUAUUUCACUUUUAACUUUUUUUUCUUUUCCAAAUUUCAUGAAGAUUUCCUAAUCGGUGAACAACUUUUCAAAUCAGGGUGAAUAUUUUCAAAAUUAAAAUUUUAUUCAUUGAAUUCAAAAAAAUUAUCAUAUUUUUUAAAUUCAUAAACAUUUUUAAAAUCAGGGUGAACAUUUUUCGAUUUCAACAUCUGUUCAUCGAAUUCAAAAUAUGUUCAUCAUAUUACUGUAAAUGCAAUCAUUUUCUAAAUUCAUGAGCAUUUUUUGAAUUUCAUGAACAUUUUUAAAUAGUGUACAUUUAUUGGAACUCGUGAACAAGUUUUUUGCAUAGGAGAACAUUUUUUGUAAUUAGGUAACAACUUUUGUAAUUCAGAAACAUUUUUUUUUGAUGAAUUUUUUUUUCAAUUCAUGAUUUUUUUGAAUCAGUGGAACAGUUUUUAAAAUUCCCGACCAUUGUUUUCAAUAUUUUAAACAUUGUUAGAAAAUUCAUGUUCAAACAUGAUUUUUUUUAAAUCACGCAUUUUUUUAAAAAUUGAUAAACUUUUUUGAAUUCACUAUUUUUUCAAAUUAAAGAGCAAUUUUUUUAACAUAAUAAAAAAAAUAAACCACAAAAAAUUUAGGAUUUCUAGAAAAUUUGUACAAAAUUCACUUUUUUGAACUAGGAAUUUUUCUAAAUUCCUAAUUAUUUUAAAGAAUAAAAAUAGAAAUAGAAAAAAAGCAAAAAAACGAAACAGAAAAACUAGGGGGCGUCCAGCCCCGUCCUGAUGUCGUGGAGGAGGCCAGCUGCUGCGAAGCACAGACGUUGCACGCUGCGGCAUGUGGCGCACGAUGCUGCAAGCAGAUUGAGGUGCACACCAACCCUCUCGCGUUGUUAGCUACUCAAGACAUUAGACGACGACAAAUAAUAUAUUUCUAUAGACUUCAUUUCACUCAUUUUCCCAUAUAAAUUGUUCUUUUGUUUGCUCAGAACGUUAUUGUUGUUCUUUUGUUACCACAUCCUCUCGGGUCACUAUCUACUCAAGACUUAAUGAAUUGACAUGGAUGGUGCACAUCAACGACGAUGGAGUUAACAACGAUGAUUCAUGGUCUACACACGCUUCCUCCACAUAUUUUUGACACAUAUCAUACAUUGAUAGUUGAUAUAUAGGUGUGCGUAUUUCCAGCAGUACUAUCGAUUUUUUUGCCCUCUUUGUGUGGGCGUGAAGGUUUGCAACUCAUCAAAUCCAGCCUUAAUUAAUUCAGUUGUCAAGAGAGAUGAGUUUUUUCAAGCAAUGGAAAUAUGGAAUAUUCUUGUUUAAAAAAUGGAAUAUUGCAAAGCGUGUACCCAAAAUAUGAGACAUAUAAAAUAUAGCAUGGACAAGAACGUUUGUGUGCCUUACAAGGAAAUAAGCACUAUCUUCGCCUUUGUAUACAAACCAAACGGUCCAACAUUUGAGCAAGCACAUACAUCCCGAAUUAAACUCGAAACCUCUUCAUGGGCUCAUGCAUCUACAGAAUUUUGUACCUUGAUGAGCUUAUGGGCAGUGUCCUUCGGUAGUGCAUUUCGACAUGAUAAAUCGGCAGGGCAACGGCAGAUUACAACCAUGGGCGAUUAAACUUGGGUCAGUCCUCUUGUCCCGGUAGGCCAAUGGUGAUCAGUUCCCCUGGCCUAAUUUUUUAUGAAAUCGGCUUGGAAAAUCCAUCGGACUACAGGCUUCUCCUUCUCUUCCCUCCCCUUUCAAUGCCGAUGGGCCGUCCAGGACACCCAUGAUGGUCGCAUCCUCCUCGCUCGUCAACUCAAAUAUGGCGAGCAAUUUUCAGUCUUCCCGGAGCUUACGGUGUGUGACCCCCUUGCACUGGCGGUAUGUCUUGCUCCUCGAGUACCUGACGACCUAGCUGCUUUGGUGGAGCACCCAGUUCCCAUGGUACCCUUUCUCCCAUCUGUGUCUUUUCUUGUUCCCCACGACGACAACGACACUAGUGCAGAAAAGCCUAGUGUUAGUGUGGGCAUCCAACGCCACCAAUAUGACGUCACAGUUAAAAAAUAGUGAUGGCGUUGGUGCCCGCAUCAGCGAUAAUUCGAAUGGUAUGAAUCCUUUGCCGAUUCAAGGGCAACGUGGUAUUCUAGUCGUGUUCUAGUUUUUUUCCUUUCCUCUUUGCGUUCAUUGGUCGUCACACGAUGCUCUGUCAAUGCAUGCUUACUCAAUGUUUCUGGUGGGCAAGUCAAAAUUUCUCUUCUGUUGAGCAAAAAAGCAAAUAUAUGAGCAGAGAAAGCAAGACUUAAAAUCUACAUGUUGAGGUUUUUACUUGCAACCACUGAAUGAUUUUGUGAUCUUUCCUACAAUUUCUUCUAUAUCUGCCACCUUGGCCUGGAUGACAUACAUGUCCGACCUGCUGGUAGGACCAUCUUCCUUGUUGGCGAGUUUCCCCCGUCCUUCCAUCCUUUAGUAAUGCACGCAAACUAUAAAAAUGUGCAAACCAAAGGCAACCCAUUGUCUUUGUGGCUGCAGCCUGAACAUAUUGAAACACAACAAUCAUAGAGAAAGAAAAAGCAAAUGGUCUUCACGUUAUAUUUAUGAUUGUCAUUUACCAUACAUAAGAAAAACACCCUGUAAAUUUUUGUUUACCUGUAAGACCAAUGAAAUCUUUGGUCUUUUUUGCAGGGAGGAACAUUUGGUCUUUGAUUGAUGAUAGACAUGGCAUCAAUAGAAGAUGUCUCUCACUAAACGGGACGAAUAAGAAUGGUCAUCGUACAAUUGUCAACCUCGAUUUCAAAGAUGAUUUCGUGUGAUAGGAAUAUGUGUGAGAAUAGGUCAAUUUUUAAUCUUGAACUCGUAGAUGAAAUAUUCGGCUAGGCACCGUACACAAAUUACCGUUUGUACAUAGGUAGUACAUUAUUUUUCAGAAUGGGGAAAGACAUGUCCUAUCUUUUCUGUUUUGCACAUAUUGGACGCCCCCUUGCCUACCUAGUAUUGUUAGGUAUGCACCCAGAGAUUCUUGUUGUCUUUGUGUAAAAUAUAUGGCCUUUGAACGCGCACGCAAACAAAGAAGGUUCGUAGAGCUAUUUUUUUAGAAUCAGCAUUUUUUUAGGGAAGGUUCGUAGAGAUAAAUGCUGGCCUAGUUUGGAUGGUUUUUAACUUCUUUUUUUUGAGACAAAUGAUGGUUUUUAACUUUGAGCUUUGUACUUGCUGGGCCCGUCAUUACCGGUGAAGCCACAUUUGGGCUGUGGGCAGCCAGCAGCCCAGCAAAGAGAAAAAUCAUCACUUGACCCACGCUCGUCACUUUCCCCUUCUCGUCGAGGGUUUCCUCUGCCCUGUUACGUUCCCUACUCCAAUCCAAUGGCGACGACCAGCAACAAGAAAAUGGCGUCGCCGUCGCCUAUGCCGGACAUGCCCGACCAGCUCCUCGCCGAGAUAUUCCUCCGGCUGCCCACCCCACAAGACCUCGCCCGCGCCUCCGCCGUCUGCCUCACCCUCCGCCGAAUCUCCACCGACAGGUCCGGGCGAAUAGCUCCCAUGCGACGUCGUUGGUGUGAAUUGUCUCUCAUGCGACGUCGUUGGUUGUAAUAGCUCUCAUGCGACAUCUGCGUUGGAAAAAAUAGCUCCCAUGCGACACUGCUGCCUAAUCCAAAGACACACGUUUAAAACUCGAAUCAGGUGAGCGGGACCCACUAAUUUAUCCAACUCAGCAUUGGUCAGGUGAGCGGGACCCACAGCAUGGGACCCACUAACUUAUCCAGGUCAGCAUUGGUACAAGAGGACACCGAGCCGUGCCCCGAGCCGUGCAGCACCCGAGCCCAUCCUCCCCCCCUCCCCGACCGUUGUUCUUCUUCUUCUCCAGCGACGACGCGCAGCAACGCCGUUCCGGGCCGCGACCUAGCAAUGUCGAGCUCCGCUUCAGCCUCCCGCCGCUCAUGGCCGCGCUAUGGCGCAGUGCCCAUGACAAGGUGCCCUGCAUGCCCACGUAUCGCACCCCUGAAGCGGCUAGUCACAACGACCGACAAGAAUGGCAACCUUGGGCGGGAAUUCGUGAAAUGCGAGAGCAAACCAGAGCAGGGAAAUGUGAGAUUUUACUUCUCUAUAUGCCAAUUUUGGUUUUUGUCUCCCAAUUUCAUAUUUGCCCAUUUUUCAUCGGAUUUGGAAUUUAGGGUUCAUCUUUCCGAUUUCAGAAAUUGAAGCAAUGCACCCAUUUUGAGUGGCUAGAUGAGUACAUAGAGCGGAUUCAACUAGAGGAUGCAUCAGGGGAGCUCGAUUUACCGUUGGAGGCGGAGAAGUUGGGCAAGUUUGGAUCGGGCGCGUCUGGAUCUAGGGCCCCUGGAUCUGGCAAUUCCAUUGGGGGCGCCCAUUCCAUUGGUGCUACUGUGGGGGAUACAGGAGUGACGGCAGAGCUGAAGAAGCUGAACAAGCAGAUGAAGAAACUCAUCGAAUUGCAGAAGCAGGGCAAUUUGAUGGGGCUGAUGGCCAGACUUUUUUAUGUUUGUGUAAUUGCUCUCGCAUUUGUUUAUGUGAUGAUAAUUAGUCGUAAGUGAAUAGAUUGGGCAUCAUUUGUAAUCGUAAUGAUAUGGAUAUUUGAAUAAAAGUGUUGCGCUGUACGAAUUCGGCAUGUCUUCUCCACUCUGUUUCGGCCCCGGCCCCGUUUUUUCAGUUCUUCAGUUCGUCAUCAGUUUCAGUUUCAGUGGUAGAGGGAGAAAAGAAAAAAAAAGGUUCGACCACAGUUGCCCGAAAAGGCCAGGCCCAUAUAGAAGUUAGGCAGGGCCGAAUAGAACAUAUCCAGGCCCAUUGAUAAAAGAAGUGUAGCUAGUGCAAAAAAAGUGCACACGGUCAUUGACAUCGAUAUAUCUUUUCGGCUUUAGGUUAUUUCACAAAUUUUAAGUUUUCUGCAGUCACCUUUUUUGAGAUAACUCAUCUGAUAAUUAUUUGAGCUAUUUUUAUGCAUAAGCUAUCGUGUCUGAUGGUAGGGUCCCGUGUUGUUUCGGCUAAAACAAAAGGUUGGUUCUAGUUAGCAGUCUAACUUGCAGUCUUUGUGAACCAAAAAAGUUGCAAUUGUUUGGUUCUAGUUUAUUUUAACCAAGCAUCAUUUUUAAUUUUUUUUGAUUUGUGCUAUGGUGUUUUCAAAGUUUUUACUCGUGUGUUUCAACCGAAAAAGGUUGUGCCCCUCUCAAAAAAAGAAGACAUCUAGUGUGCCCCUAGUAGCAUCUCCUUACAACAUAGAGGGGCAUCCCCUUACAACAUAUAGUGCAUAAAACAUAAAAGGAAGAUAAUUAACUAGACACGUGCUAACAACAACUUAUAUGAUUGGAUCAUGUUUUAGUGCAUUUUUUAGUUCACAUGGCCACAUAAAUAAAAUGCAAUGGAGAAACUUUAGGCCCGAGAAAACAUUAAUAGAUAGCACGAUAGAGGGGCAUCGGGUACCCUAGUAGCACAGAUAGAUAGAACAUAUAGAGGGGCAUCCCCUUACAACAUAUAGUUCAUAAAACAUGAAAGGAAAAUAAUUAAAACUAGUAGAUAGAAGACACGGGCACACACGCCCGAACCAACACAAACACAAGCUAGUUAGAUAGAAAGACUCGCACUCGAACAAUUCCUUGGCCCCUCCUCCUUAGCCGGCGCCCCUCACUCGUCGUUCUCCGGCAUCUGGUAGGGGAGGGUGUGCAUGCCGUUGGGGUGAGGGAAGAUGUGGUGGAAGUUGGUGAAGAUGUUGUAGGUCGUGAACGCGAUAAACUCGCAUCCACACCAGAACACCUCGCCGAGGAGGUGGUGAGCGUCGUAGGGGUUGGUGAAGGUGACGUAGAGGCCGAUGACGAAGCCGUUGGCGUUGCCAUCGUACUGCUCGUGGAGGUGGAACAUGGGCGGAGUGCCCGGAGGGAGGUGGCGGUAGCCGGCUUGGAGGAAGAAGCGAGCCAGCUCUCUAGGGCCCCUCCACCUUGAGAUGGCCCACACCCUCAGGCUAUUCUCGACGAUGAAUCCGGCCGGGUACUCCCUCUCCGGCACGGUGCGAGGGCGACGGUAGGUAGGGCCGUUGAACUGCAUGGUGGCUCGAGUGGUGGAUUUGGCUCGAAAAGAAGAAGCGGAGGAGGCUUGAGAGAUGAGUGUGAGAGGGAUAAGGAAAUGGUGCCCUUUUAUAGCCGCGUUGCAGCCGUGGUCAAUGUGUACACGGUGCCUUCUCGAUCGUUUUCUCUUCUCCGUUCGUACUGGCAUAAGUAAUUGCGGGCAUUAAUUCAAAAACGGCAGGCAGAGCAUCCAAAGAGGCACGUGCGGCACAGGCGAGAUGCAUCGUUUCGUGCACUUGCAUCGGCGGUGACGCCGCGUGGGAAACAGGCCCGUUCAUCCGCGCGUGACACUGAAAAAGGAGCUGCACCACCGUCUCAGGUUCAAACAUGCAUUUGUUAAAAUAGCUUAGAUGCGACGUACCUAUACGCUGUGCCCCUGCCGCUGCUUUACUGCGUCGAUGCGUGCAUGCAAGCCCGCAUGCAAAUGGCUAGGCUCACGAGCACCGUUCACGAGCACAGAAUAGCUAGGCUGCGACGUUGCAUGGCAUGCAUGGGACAGGGAUGGCCCACAUGUCAUUGACCCUCUCGCAUGCAGCCCAUCCCCCCCUCUCGACGGCCGUGCGCACGCACGCCAGGCUCUGCCGGGCCCGAUCCACUCGGCCCAACGGUCACUGAGAUGCUCCCCCGCUCAACGUUAUCUGUUCGAACAGAGAGAAAAAACGGUGGCCAAUCAGAUUGGAGAAUCAGGGCUCCCACGGAUUGCCCCCGCGGAAUCCUUCUAGAAGGCCUAUCCGACGACCGCAGUUUGGCGUUAGGGUUAGAUCGACGGUGGACGUUUGGCGCUAGGGUUACAUGGGUUUUGGAGGCAGUCAACGGGGUUUUGAAAGGUUUGACCGAACAUUCAAAUGUGUAUAACUAAUUCAAAAAAAUCUAAAAAAUGAAAAACCUGCGCAUAUAGUCUUGUUAUGUUACAUAGUUAUGAUAUAAAAUGAUAAACUUGAUCUAAUGAUCUUUGCAUGAAAAAACCUUCACAAAUUGGACUAUCUCGACUGAGGUUGCAUAGAGUUCAAAGGAGUGAGAAGAGGGUUUGAGGUUUUGAAAAUGCAAAAAAUCAAAAACCUCACCUUAGUUUCAUUUUGGAGUGACUAAGGAGGAUCUGAAGUUAUUUUUGCAUUUUAAAUUUUUAAACUUGUUUUAUUGCUGACUUUGUAUUCAAGGGUGUUUUUUCAAAAAUAAAUUAAUAAUAUGAAUACUUAUUCAAAAAAAGGUGAGACUUCGUAUUGAUCCUAUAUAGGUAUAAUAUAAGCUAAGAAAAUCUUUUUUUGUGAUUUUGAGAAGGUCGAAAAAAACUUGCUUAGAAAUGGGGUCGUUUUCCCUUACUUUGGAGCCUGUUUGGACAACAUUUUCAGUGACUAUGAGUUGGACUUCACAAAAAGGGUUGGAUUUAUGAACUAAAGUGCAUAGUAGUACAUAAAACAAUGCAACAUCACAGAACAAACAAAUGAACUCCAAAAAUAUUGGAGAUAGGUUCAAAUUUGAAUGUCGGUUCAAAUUUGAAUUUUAUUUCAAGUCAAAUCAACAUCAUAGCACAUAAGUUUUCACAUGAAAGAACAUAAGUUUUCACAUCAAAUGACAACAAACAUAAGUUUUCACAUCAAAUUUGAAUGAUUUCGACUCUAUUUCUUUUGCUUCUUUCUACCACUCGAUUUCUUCUCUUUUUUCCACCGUUUGGUUCCACGGCGCAUAGUUUGUUGAUGCUGAUGCUCUUGCUUUUUGGCCCCUUGGUUUUCUUGCCAACUCCACUAGGCCCACUCAACUUUUGCCCCUCACCAUGUCCCACUUCUUCAGUUUGCACUUCUGCAGCUUGAGUAGAUGGCACACAUUGUUCAACUACUUCAGUUUGCAACUCAACACUUGGCAGCACAACCUCCAAACAUGGCAACACAGCUGUCAAAGCAGAUUCGCAUGGCAGCACAACAAUUGCUUCAUCUGCAACAUUUUCAGAUUGCCCUAGCGCCCGCAAAACAGAUUCAGUAUGCAUCACGUCAUCCAAAACAUAAACACUUAGCUCAUGUUCAGCAGUAACAGUUUCAGUUUGCUCCAUAUCUUUGUCACCAAACAUUAUCUGCUUAGUGCUCUUCCUUCUAAAGCCAUUGAGUCUUGCUUUUUUCACUGGCCAACACUGUUCAACAACAAGAGGUGGGGCUUUUUCUGCACGCUUCCUCCUAAAAAGUAAAGCAUUUCACUUGGUUAGAUACUAGAACAAGUAGCAAAAUCAAAAACUUACAAAAACAGUAACAUAAACAUACUUUGGCCUCUGAGGAGUGUAGAUGCAUUUGGAUGAACCAACUCUGUGCCCAAGUACCUCACACAACUUGCACCUAUUUUUGUUACCUUUUUGAGCCCUUUUGGGCUUAUCAUUCUUUUCCUUUUCCUUUUUCCCCUUCUUACUACAACCACCUUUCUCAAACCAAGCUUUGAAUCUGCUCUGUUUUGGCCUCCCAACCUUUCUUCUAGUGACAGGGGGACACAAGGUAAAUUCUAUUUCCACCUCAGGCCACUGAGAUUGGUCAGUCAGUGCAGGAAUUGGACUUGCAUAUGCAGCUUUGAAUUUUUGUACUGAAUAAUACUCAUGCAAAUAUGGGUGCAUAUUUAACCUGGGUUUAGAUGCCAAAAAAAUAUGGAAUGCUCACAUAGUUUUCCAGUGUGUUGCCACUCUUGGCAAGUGCACUCAUGCAACUCAGUAUUUACCACAUGCCUCUUGCCACUCUUUGUAUCUCUAACUUCAGCACCCCACAAGGAAGAUUUCUCAACAGAUAGAUGUGAAAGAUUUCUACUUCUGUUGACCACCUGUUGUACCACUGCUGGAAGCUUGCCCCCUUCCAAAAUAUUAGCAAUUUUUCCUCUCAACUCCCACAAACGCAUGAUCAUGAUCCUUAUUUGGUCCACCAUGUCAUGCACAGACAAGUCUUUCAAAUCCUUCACUUUGUUGUUAAAACUUUCUGCCAAGUUGUUAUUGAUAUGAUCACAUUUUAUGGCAGUAUUAAAACCUGAUCUAUACCACAACAGAGAAUGGUGUGUGUUCAACCAUGAAGCAAAUUAAUUAUCACUACAUGAUGCCAAUAUCUUACCAAGGUGAUAGGAAUGUGUCUGUCUGGUGUAGGAUCUUGCUGCUGGCCACAUGCGCCCAAAUUCAUCUCCUCUGAAUUUUUUUAUCAGAUUCAUCCACAUAUGUCCAAAGCACUCCCUCUGCUCAGCAUGGGGGAAAACAUUUUUUACUGCAUUUUUCAACCCUUUACAUGCAUCUGUGUGGAUGGCCAAAGGAGAAACUGGCCCUAUGCAUCUUUUCAGUUGCAUCAUGAACCAUAUCCAUGAUGCCUCUGUCUCUGAUUGAAACAUUCCUAUUGCAAUUGGGAACAUCCAGUUGUGUCCAUCUAGAGCAUUGCAUGCAGCCAACUGACCAUUCCACUUUCCAGUCAAAAAAGAUGAGUCUAUGCUCAAAUAUGGACGACAACCUGCUUUGAAUCCAUCUAUGCAAGGCUUCAAACACAUAAAAAACUUGCUGAAAAAAACCUUGCCAUCCUCUGUUACCUCUGUAUCUAUCUCCACCACACUUUCAGGUGACCUCUUCUCCACCUCUGCUUUAAAACUAUACAACAUCCUAAAUGUAUUUACCCAGUCACCAUACAAUGAUUUCAUGGCCCUUUGUUUUGCUUUCCACACUGUGGUAUAUUGCAGCUGGAUGGGGUACAGCUUCUCCAAGUCAACUUUAAGCCUCUUUGCAGUAGUGUUUGGAGUCUUGGCUAAAAUAGGAGUAAUCUUCUCUGUAACCCAAAGCUGUGAUGUCAUCUUUGAAACUCUCUGUGAAGUGGUCAUACAUGUAUGCUGGUGUGGUAUUUGAUUUACCCUUACUGUACUUCCAUCAGGUUGUAGUCUGGCAGACAAGUACCAUUUGCAAGGAUUGCCACCACCAUCAUAACCUUUGCACCGAGCAUAAAAUUUCUUUCGAUCAGUCCACAUAGUCUUGGCAUCAAAUUCCUUUUUCACUGCAUAGGUCCUGAAAGACAUCCUAAACUCUUUCAUGCUUGGCCACAACUUUCCCACCUCAAUAACUGGGUUCUCUUUGUCAUACAAACAAACCAGCUCAUUAUCAUCUGCAUCAUCCACAUCAUUUGCAGCCUCUCUCAUCGGCUCUUCUUCAUCCUCAUUUGCAUUUCUAGGGCAUGUGUUACCAUCAGCAGGCAAAGAACUGUCAUCCUUCUCCUUAUCUUUGUCAUCAACUUGAAUGCCAAACAUUUCGGCCAUAUCAAUGUCAGAUAUUGGUGUAAUGACCAAAUCUGUUUUUUUCAUUCAACUCUACUACAUUCCAGUCAACAACAAUCUUCCUAGCACCAUGGGUUCCCUCCUCUCCAUCUGUAUCAAUCCCUGUAUCUUCAGCUACUACAGUCGGUUCAGUCAACAAUGCCAACAUCUUGUUUUGUGAAACCCACUCAUUAUCUUCCACCUGUGCAGCCAUCUUUGAUGGCACAUAACCAACUCUGGAAUGAGUUUGCAGAUCAAUUAGCUCAGCAUAAAAUGUUACUUGUUUGCUUGCCCACCCUUCUUGCUGAUCAAUUUCAGCAACCAUGGAUUCUCCAUCUUCAAUUCUCACAUAUUCACCAUUAUAGUUAUCGAAACGUUGCAGAGACACCUGUUGUUCUGGACCCCAAACAAUACUCUCCCCAAUUCUCUCCACCAAAUUGCCCACGGCCUUCUCCUUCAUGCUCUCCAAUUCCUGGGGAUCAACAUCUGCAAAUUCGACAUCCAACCUCACGGUGGUAUCUCUAUCAAUGUCUUGGACACUGCCAUCACUGAGCUUGGCUUUACAGGGAAAAAAUUCCACUAUAAUUGCGAAUGUGGUGGCAGAACCUGAACCUCCCCUGUUUUGUCAAUGGCAGGCAGCGGCAGCAGUGUAAGCGACAGUCACUACCAAAUCGAGUUCGAUAACAGCUAAAAUAGAAAAGAGGGCGACAUUACCGAUUUGAAGCACUGUCUCCUCGCUCCAUCUCAUUCAGCCCCCGCGCUCCUAUCCAAUCGAGAUUCUAAAACGCCAAGAAACAGGGGCAGCAUGAGGCCACAGAUUUAUCCAAAAUUCUGGGGAAUGGGACUAGAGUUUGGAAAAUACUCACUCGCAAUAGCCGCUGCCGAGAAAGGCGCUCCACCGCCGGGCGGGCCGCGGAUCCAAUCGAGAUUCUAAAUCACCAAGAAACAGAGGGGCGGCAUGAGGCCACAGAUCCCCCAAAAUUCUGGGAAGUGGGACUAAGGUUUCGGGCUCACUCGCAAUAGCUCUGCCGCUACCGAGAAAUGCGCUCCACCACCGCGGAGAAGAAACCGCUGCCGAAGAAGAUGCUUACGGCGGCGCCGCUCGCCCAGUCCAGCACGGGCGAGUCGAGCACGAUCACACAGUCACCGGUCGAGUCGUCGACUCGACGGUUGACUCUUGACUACGUGGCCCUAGGUGGACCCUACCAGUCAGAGCACAUAACCCCCGGUGUCCUAACUAAACCUCAGCCUAACUAACAGCCAACUAGCCGCGUAAAUGGGUUGUCUUGCUUGAGCUAUUUCUGCGCUGGGAGACGUCGUAUGAGAGCCAUUACAACCAACGACGUCGCAUGAGAGACAAUUCAACUCAAAGAUGUCGCGUGGGAGGUAUUCGUCCUGACAGGUCCUUCCUCCGCUGCUUCCGCUGCCUCCACGCACCACCGCUUCUCGGAUUCCUCGACCGCGACGGCUUCCACCCAGCCCUACCCUCCACCCCCGCCGUCCGCGCGGUCGCCGCCGCCGCCGAUUUCACCUUCUCCUUCCUCCCCUACCACCGCCGCUGGACCGUGCAGGACGUCCGCGACGGCCGCGUCCUCCUCUCCCGCAGCACCGGGAAACAUGGGCAGCCCCCGGUCUUCAGAGAUCUCGCGGUGUGCGACCCCUUGCACCGGCGCUACGUCCUGCUCCCCCCGCUACCUCACGACCUAGCUGCUUUGCUUGGGCACCCAUUCCCCCCGGUAACCGAGGCCUGCUGCAAGCGCUUCCUCGUUCCCCUCGGCGAGGAGGAGGCAGCGGCUGGAGACACAACAUUCAGAGUCAUCUUGAUGGCGUAUUGCAAAACCAGUCUGGCCGCCUUUGUCUUCUCUUCCAGCAACGAUCGAUGGCGAGCUACUGCAUCCAAGGAUUUGAGUGAUUUGGCCCUUGACGAGGGCGACAUGGAGGAGAUGUCAAGGGUCCAGCCUUUUAUUCCCAUGCGCCAUUAUGCUUAUGGCUGUUUCUACUGGGAUUGGGUGCAAUUCGGGAUGAAGAAGUUGCUCUUGCUUGACACCACCGACAUGGAGUUCUCCGCUGCUGACCUCCCACCAGGAGAAUGGAGCAAGGAAGGUAUAGCCAUUGUGGAGGCAGGGGAAGGCAGGCUCGGGAUCUUUGGUUUCCGUGGUGAACCUGCAUCCAGUCUCAGCUAUACCGCUGCACGGACCAAAGGCGAGAGUCCCAGCCAGUGGCAGAUGGAGAAGACAAUCUCACUAGAUUCUGGCUACAAAUAUUGUAUCAGAGAUGCAACACAGAGGUACUUGCUCUUGACAAGGAUAGAAGCAUCAUCUCUAAAUAAUCACCUUGUUGGAUAUUUCUCAAUGGAUAUCAAGACGUUGGAGCUUCAGAGGGUUUAUGAGAAACAACACUACUCUAAGUAUCAGACAUACACAUAUGUCAACUUCCCACCAUCAUUGUUGUCUUCAAGGAGAAUAUGAAGUGGUAAAGUUUCUAUUGCUUCCAAGUAUCUCCUUCACUUCAUAAUUAUCACAUGACUUGUCUAUUGCUUCAUGCUCAUUAUGGCAAUUGGUAAUUCUUGUUUUAUUUAGUACUCCCUCCGUCCCAUAAUAUAAGAACGUUUUUGACACUAGUGUAGUGCCAAAAACGUUCUUAUAUUAUGGGACAGAGGGAGUACUGUUUAAUUUAUUGUGCUCAUCGGAAAGCUAAGAAAGCUCGCGAACAUAAUUGUGUUUCUUGUCUUGUUUGCCUCGGUCGCCUUUUAAAGAGAAUGGGGUUAGUACUUAGUAGGAGAAAUGAUCUUGUACACUACAAGUAGCUUAUGCAUGAGUGAGUCCUGAUGGAAAUCUGGAAUCACUAAAAAUACCAGGUCAUUAUAGUUAUUUUAGAGGAGUAGUUUUGAUGAUCAAGAUAAAGUAGGAAGGAAUACAACUUUAUUUCUGGUUUACCUUGAAUUGAUUCACCAUGAGAAAAUCCACAAGUCAAAGACAGCCCAUUUUGUACACUUUUUCUUCAGAAUUAUAUCUUGCGAUGCUGUUUUGAGGUAAACCUGUAUGGUCACAAAUAAGAUCCUGAGUCACUGCUGUAAAAUAAGAAGAGCUUGUGCUCACAGACAACUGAAAUGUUAUCCCGCGAUGUUGUUUUAUCUGAAUCAACCUCAUAAGAUUGAAGGGAGUGCUUAUCACGGGCAACUGAAAUUGUUCUUUAUUGCAGUCAUUGUCUCCACCACUGUUAGAUCCUCAGUAUCAUGGUUGUGCUCUGAAUCUCCAAGCAAAUCAUAUUGGUUGAGAUGAUUGACUAGAACUUAGAGUUGUCACGUGAUUGUAUUGUUUCUCGCUGCCAACACCCGGAGCUACAUAUUCACGUAUACGUUGUUCUAGUUUUCAUGGUGCUUGUAGCUUCAGUUAAUGUGGCUGCUGCUAUCCCUGCGUAAGAGUGAGUGUGACCAUGAACUUUAACAGUUUCAAUCGACCAACAAUUGUGGUUGAGCUAGCUAGAUGAUGCAUAUUUCCAUGUCCCAUUUUUUUCUCAACUAGUAUUUAUUAGAGUUAUGAUCUCGUCGAGGAUGAAUACAAUACACGAUGAUUGUAACCAUUAAAAGCCUUUGUGUUCUAUCAAAAAUGAAGGAGUGCCCCUAUUUUUCCUUUUUUGUUUAGUUUGAAGCUAGAGCUUUAUUAGUAGUAGGAAACAAGUUGGUGCAUAGCGCACAUGACGUCACCAGCAAUAAACUCUGGCACAUUGAACUCCCACUUUACCCUACCAGAGCCUACAGGUUUAAUUCCAAAUUUACUUAAGCCUUGUUUGUCUGUCGACCGCCUGCAGACAGACAAGUCGCAACUGGACAAGCACGGUCAGUUGUGUGAACAAGUUUUCUGCAAUUAACCCCACUAUGCAGUUGAAAUUCUUUUUUAUUGCAGUCAAUCUCCAUCACUCUGAGAUCUUGAUACGAUGGUUGUCCUAAUCUGAAAGCAGAUCAUAUUGGUUUUGAUAUAAUUGAAUGAAUCUUAAAGAGUUUUCAGGCGAUUGUGUAUUAGCAAUUUUGUAGGAUGAAUUUGAGGGGACAGCCAGUUUUUUUUGUUCCUUUAUGGGCAUCAAUUUGUACCAGGAUGGAAUUAAGUUUUUCAAGACUAGUUUCUUUAUGUUGAUGUGCCUCUGUCUGGCUAUGUAUUCCAACCUUUUAUUUUAAAUUCCCAUGGUAGGCACACUGGAGCGAGUGUCUGCAGUCACAUGUUUCGAAUUCAGCUUAGAUAAAUAUUACCUAUGUGAUAAUGCUAUUAUGUAUCUUCCUCUACCUAGUUACAUAUAAUUUGUUCCUUUUAGCUCGUAAACUCUCAAAUAUGUGUGCAAUGAAAUUCUUAUUUAUUGUAGUCAAUCUCCACCAGUCUUAGGUCCCAGUAUCAUGGUUUUUCUCCUUAUCCCAAAGCAAAUCAUGUUGGUCGAGAUGAUUGACUGAAACUUAAGGAGUUUUCAUGCGAUUAUGUAUUAGCAAUCCUGUAAGAUGAAUUGGAGAGGGCACCUAGUUUUGUUUUUCUUUCCUUUUUGGGACUCAUUUUUGUACUUGGAUUGCUGACAGCAGCUAGUGCGUUGGUUCUUGCUACCAAUGCCCCAGUUUCUCUCCAUGUUUUGUAGUCAGAAGUUUGGUAUACUGCUAGGUGCCUGGUAGUAUAUGAUUUCGUGCUGUCCUGUAACAUGGAGGUACCACUUCAAGUUCUUCACGACCCAUUUCUUUAUGUUGACUGGCCUGAGUGCAAACUACAAUUCUAAACACACCUAAAGCGAGUGUUUGCAGUCACUUGUUUCGAAUUCAGUUGAAAUCAGUAAUCAAGAUUACCAAUGUGACAAGGUUAUUAAUUACUGAAACGUAAGGAGUUAUUAGGUGAUUGUGCAUUAGGAAUUCUGUGAAGACCACCCAGUUUUGUGUUCUUUCUUUUCUUGUGUGCAUUAUUUAUGUACUAUUAGGAUGGCAGUCGGCAGCUAGUAUGUUGGUUCUCACUAGCAAUACCUCGAGUUUCUUUAUUCUUUUUAAGUUAGAAGUUUGUUAUACUGCUACUAGGAAGUAUGAGGACUCCUGCAACACAAAUGUACCAAUUCUGUAUUACUUAAGUUUUCCACGUCUCGUUUCUUUAUGGUGUCUUGCCUCUGCCUGGCUAUGUAUUCAAACUUGUAUUACAAAUUCCAGUCUAAGCACACUGAAGCGGGUGUUCGCAGUCACAUAUUUUCAAAUUCGGCUGAGACCAAUAUUACCAAAGUGACAACGCUAUUAUGCAAUAUUUCUUCUCUGGUGUCUAAACUUCUAUCUUGUCUGUUCAGGUUUGACAGAGCAGUACGUAAUCAUAUCAGCAUUCUUAAUUCAAAGCGACCAUGGUUUCAACAGCUUGGAGUUCUCACAUACGUGAUCACUUUGCCUACAGAACAACACGAUCUACAUUGCCUUGCCUGGUGGUGGCCAUGUCAAUGUUUCGGUUAUUAGGCCUAACAUCAAUGUGGAAUUUCCCUGCCUAAGAAUGUGGCUUUGAUAUUAGGAGUUCAAGUCAAUUUUUUUCUUCAUUAUUAGUUAGAGUUGCUAAAACAGGUACAAUCUGACUAGUGGCAGAACGAUCACAACGGAACUGAUAACCAAUGUAAGGACAAUAUAAGCAGCACCAGCAUGCAGCUGGAGGGACUUGUUCUUUGUUGUUGCUGCUGCUGCUGUACGGUGAAGGGUAGGCAGCAAAAAAGGUUUGUAGAGCUGUAGAAAGAGGUGAGUGGAAGUCCUAAAUGGUGCUCAUGUUUGGAUCGCCGAAGUACCGAUAAUUUGUGAAAUCUUGAAUAUGCUGUAUGAUCUUGAAUACUGAGUGGACAAUUUUCUCUGCUGUAUGAUCUUUUGUCCCUUCUUCUUCAGAUUUGAUGGAGCUGUAAUCAGAUCGCCCCAGCGUAAGUUGACAAUCCAAACGCAACAUGUACACAGAUAUAUAUACUACUGUCACCAAGUUGGUUGGUUUCACCUGCCUGUUAUUAGCGGCAAGAAAAAUUAAGAGAUGACUUUUGGAUCGCUUGGUCUCGGGUCCUGAGGACAAAACUGCAACCAUCAGCGCUUUCGGUUGAUUUGUGAACGCGGGUGCGGGAAUUGGCGAAGACACACUCGUUGGCGCUAAUGGUCAGUUGUUGGUCGUUUCAGAUUAGCGAAGGUGCCUCUAGCUAAACAGGCUUGUCCAUAGUUUUUUAGGCGACUCUGGUCCAUGGUUUGUAGCAUGGUGACACUAAACGGAUCUUAAUAUAUGAAGGCUUGCCCCGGGGUUCCUGCUUGUUGUUAAAGAAAAAACAUAUGAAGGUUCAACGAGGCCCGCGGCCCGCCAAAUGAAUGCAAUUUUCUCACUUAUAGUGAGAUGGUGUUCUCCUAUUUGGCGCACAGGUCGCCCACGAGCGACUUGGCACGUACCUCCCCACACCCGCUACGUAUAGAAUUUGGGCCUGCCCAAACUAGCUCCAUUAUGGAUUUGAGAAGGCUGUAGAACCUUCCUAGACAAUUGUUUUUGGUUCUGCUUGCAAUUUGUUUUCUACUUUUUACAUUUUUUGUCAUUUCCUUUCUUUCUACAUUUUUAUUUUGUUUUUUUCUUAUUCUUUUUCCUUUUAAUUUAAUUUCCAUUUUACUUUUUUUUAUUUUAGUUUUUAAAAAUUUCAUUUAUUCCAAAAUUUCACGAACAUUUUCUAAACUCUGGGCACAUUUUUUAAAAUUUGUGAACAAUUUUUCAAACCAGGAAGAUUUUUUUUGGAAUUCAAAGUUUAUUCAUCAAUUUAAAAAAAAUCAUCAUACUUUUCCGCAUAGGGUUUGCAUUCAUAAACAUUUUUCAAAUCAGUGUGAACAUUUUUCGAUUUCAAAAUCUGUUCGUCGAAUUCAAAACAUGUUCAUCGUAUUGGUGAAAUUGCAUAUGUUUUUCUGGAAGUCGUGAACAAGUUUUUUGCAUACGCGGAUUUUUUUUGUAAUAGGGAAGAACUUUCGAAAUCCAUAAACAUUUUUUGUUUUUGACGAAUGUUCCUUGAAUUCAUGAAUAUUUUUGAAUAAAUGAACAUUAUUAAAAUGUUGUGAACAUUUUAUAAAAAAUUGGAAACAUUUUUUAGCAAUUCGAGACCACUGUUUUAAAUAUUCUCAAUAUUUUUUAAAAUUUAUGAACAUUUUUUGAAGACACGAAUCCUUUUUUUCUUCUGAAAUCAUGUGUUUUUCGAAAACCAAUGAAUAUUCUUUGAAUUCACGAAUUUUUUGUUAAAUUCACAAAAAAAUAUGAUUUCUGGAACAUCCUUCCAAUGUUCACCUUCUGAAAUUUGAAACUUUUUCAAAAUUUUAAUUAUUUUAAAGAAGAAAAAUAAAAACACAAAAAAGGUUAAAAAAA
rnacentral:lncRNA from 1 species